GAUGAAGAACGCAGCGAAAUGCGAUAAGUAGUGUGAAUUGCAGAAUUCAGUGAAUCAUCGAAUCUUUGAACGCACAUUGCGCCCCCUGGUAUUCCGGGGGGCAUGCCUGUCCGAGCGUCAUUGCUGCCCUCAAGCACGGCUUGUGUGUUGGGCUCCGUCCCCCCGGGGACGGGCCCGAAAGGCAGCGGCGGCACCGAGUCCGGUCCUCGAGCGUAUGGGGCUUUGUCACCCGCUCUGUAGGCCCGGCCGGCGCCAGCCGACAACCCAUCAUCCUUUUCAGGUUGACCUCGGAUCAGGUAGGGAUACCCGCUGAACUUAAGCAUAUCAAUAAGCGGAGGA
rnacentral:misc_RNA from 1 species